rnacentral:rRNA from 1 species
GACGAACGCUGGCGGCGUGCUUAACACAUGCAAGUCGAACGGAAAGGCCCUGCUUUUGUGGGGUGCUCGAGUGGCGAACGGGUGAGUAACACGUGAGUAACCUGCCCUUGACUUUGGGAUAACUUCAGGAAACUGGGGCUAAUACCGGAUAGGAGCUCCUGCUGCAUGGUGGGGGUUGGAAAGUUUCGGCGGUUGGGGAUGGACGCGCGGCUUAUCAGCUUGUUGGUGGGGUAGUGGCUUACCAAGGCUUUGACGGGUAGCCGGCCUGAGAGGGUGACCGGCCACAAUGGGACUGAGAUACGGCCCAGACUCCUACGGGAGGCAGCAGUGGGGAAUAUUGCACAAUGGGCGGAAGCCUGAUGCAGCAACGCCGCGUGCGGGAUGACGGCCUUCGGGUUGUAAACCGCUUUCGCCUGUGACGAAGCGUGAGUGACGGUAAUGGGUAAAGAAGCACCGGCUAACUACGUG